GAUGAACGCUGGCGGUAUGCCUAANACAUGCAAGUCGUACGAGAGUUUUUAACUCUAGUGGCGGACGGGUGAGUAACACGUGAGAAUUUGCCUUUAGGAGGGGGAUAACAAUUGGAAACGAAUGCUAAUACCCCAUAUGCUUUUGAGUGAAACGGAUUUAUCCGCCUAGAGAGAAGCUCGCGGCUGAUUAGCUUGUUGGUAAGGUAAGAGCUUACCAAGGCGACGAUCAGUAUCUGGUUUGAGAGGACGAUCAGACACACUGGAACUGAGACACGGUCCAGACUCCUACGGGAGGCAGCAGUGGGGAAUUUUCCGCAAUGGGCGAAAGCCUGACGGAGCAAUACCGCGUGAGGGAAGAAUGCCUAUGGGUUGUAAACCUCUUUUUUCAGGGAGGAACAAAAUGACGUGUACCUGAAGAAUAAGCAUCGGCUAACUCCGUG
rnacentral:rRNA from 1 species